UACAAUGAUAGGAGUACGUAUCUACUGCAACAGAUUGAUCAUUGUUUUUUUUUUUUUAGUUGGGAUGAAAUGGUAAUAUAAUAUAUGUAUAAUUAGUCAGUACAAAUCUAAAUAUACUAACAGAAACAAAGUAUCAUUUAUAUAUAAUAAUUAUAAUGCGAAAUACGUACAUUACAAAAUAUUACUUGCUUGUUUUAGGUAUGACACACCCUACUAAUAAAAAAUAAAAGUUAUAUAAUUAAUUUAAUCAUCCAAAAUACAAAUUGACAACAUAUAUAUAAGCCGAAUUUCCAAAUCUUCACAAAGUCGAAACUUGAAUAAGAGUCGCCAACAUAUAUGCACCAUUUGUUAGAUGACUAGUCACUAUACUUCAGCUCCAUUUAGCUCCCCAUGCACCAACACAUAAAAUUGAAAAAACUAAUAGAAAUAUAAUUGAACUAAAUUAUAAAUUAUAAUAAACCAAGGCCACAAUCAACAUGAGAAAAGUUCAAAAGGCACAGAUGAUGGUUGUUUAAAAGAUGACAGCAAAGAAGUUGCAGUCAAGGUGUUCUCAAAGACCGAGGCCCCUAAACAAUUUAAGGUUCGUAAUUAGGCAACCAAAUAGAGAAUCAUGCUCUCUUGAUAUCAUUAAUGUUGUAUGAUAUGAGAGCUAAAGCCUUAAGAAAUGUUUUGGCACAGAUUGAAGUGCUUGGUCAAAUUUCUCACAAGAACUUGGUUUCUCUCGUUGGAUACUGUGAAGAAGGAACCAACUUGGCACUUAUUUACGAGUUCAUGGCCAUGAGAGACUUGAAAGCUCUUCUCUCAGGUAGGACCUUGCAUCCUAAAACUUCUAUAGUCCUUUAUUUUUUCCUAGCUGUUGCACUUAUUAAUUGAAUUAAAUGUUUUUUUUUUUCCUUUCAACAACAAUCAAUUUGAUUUUUGGGUGGUUUAUGAAAAGAAUAUUCUGACUCUAUAAGCUGGAGAAAGAGAGUUGAGAUAGCAAUCGACACAGCUCAGGGACUGGAUUACUUGCAUCAUGGUUGCAGCCCGCCUAUAGUUCAUAGAGAUGUGAAACCCGCUAACAUUCUUCUAAACAAAGAAUUUCUAGCAAUCCAAAAUCUUCCCAGCUGAAUACGUUUCAAAUUUACAAACAAGGGUUGUUGGAACACUAGGCUAUCUUGAUCCUCAGUAUAAUUUAACAGGACAGGUGCAUCAAAAAGGCGAUGUUUACAGCUUUGGGGUUGUUUUGUUGGAGCUAAUCACAGGGAAAACAACAAUAGUAAACAGAGUCAUGAACUUGGGUCAAUGGGUUAGGAGCGUGCUUGAAAGAGGGGAUAUAGCCAGCAUGCUAGACGAGAACCUGAGACACCAGACGCGUGUAGAUGACAACUAUCUCACUGUGUGGAAAGCAGUAGAAUUAUCAGUGAGAUGUAUUCAGCUAGAAAUUGUAGAUAGGCCAACAAUGACUCAAAUAGAGACAGAACUCAAAGAGUGUUUGAAUAUGAUGAACACAGAUGUUCUAGUUCAGCUAAAGACUCUCUAGAGAUGAUGAGCGCAACUAUUCGAAGUAGUACGAUUUCAAGUAGUAUGAAGAACACAGAAAGUAUGAGUAGUAACUCAAGAAUCUAACUCAAGAAUCAUGUCCUUACUGAUUGAUAAUUUAGAGAUGUAGCAGGCUAUAAAAAGCAUGAACUCAGCAACAAAAACAUACAACAAUAAAAAGCAUCAACAAACAACUAAAGCAUCAACCAUAUAAAGAAAAAAAAAACAAAAGUAAUAAAGCAAUAGUGGGCAUCAGAAAAAGACAUCAACAACAGCAACAUUUCAACAGUAGGUUCAGGGUAUAAGUUAUAUUUCAUGCAUAUGUAAUUUGUCAGAAAAAAAUAGGGAUGAUGACCUUGGAUAUGGUGAGUGCAGGGCUCCAUUACUCCUUUAGUAUAUCAAGGCAAAUACUCCCAUUGCUAUUAAUAUUUGGAUGGAAUACCUUCGUUUUAAAGGCCAC